UCCCAGGGCGGGAGGCCCAGGAGCCGGGAGGGGACGCUCGGCCGAGGUGGGCAGCGCGGCAGCGACCCCGGGAGACGGACCGGUCUCUGGGCCCACGACUCACUUUCCUGUGUCACCGCCGCAGGCAGGCCACAGAGCUCCAGGAGGGGGACCGUGAGGACUCGGAUGAAGAACGGGCUCCGAGGCAGCUAGUGAAACCUUCCUGGGUGGCCUGCAGAAGGGAACACAGUAAACACCAGAAGGGUGAAGUAACAGCUUCUUUGUCUGAGCUCUAAUGAGGCCACUCUCAUCCUGUUUAGAAUCAUUUGUUCAGCCUGCCUACCUCUGUGUUAUGAGCUCUUUGAGAGCCUGGUCCAUACCUAAGUCUUCUCAGAGGUCUAAGGCCCAGAUCAGGGCUC